rnacentral:rRNA from 1 species
AGUGAACGCUGGCGGCGUGCUUAACACAUGCAAGUCGAACGAGAACGGGUUAUAUCUUGCUAUAAUUGUCAUCUAAGUGGCGCACGGGUGAGUAAUGUAUAGGUAAUAUGCCUCUUACUAAGGGAUAACAAAUGGAAACGUUUGCUAAUACCUUAUACUCCUUAUUAACAUAUGUUAAUAAGGGAAAGAUUUAUUGGUAAGAGAUUAGCCUGUAUUGUAUCAGUUAGUUGGUGGGGUAAUGGCUUACCAAGACUAUGACACAUAACUGGUUUGAGAGGAUGAUCAGUCACACUGGAACUGAGACACGGUCCAGACUCAUACGGGAGGCAGCAGUGGGGAAUAUUGCACAAUGGACGAAAGUCUGAUGCAGCAACGCCGCGUGGAGGAUGACACAUUUCGGUGCGUAAACUCCUUUUAUAUGAGAAGAUAAUGACGGUAUUAUAUGAAUAAGCACCGGAUAACUCCGUGCCAGCCGCAGUAACAC